ensembl:lncRNA
GUCUUGCUGGAGAUUCCUGCCUACCUGAGGUCUGUUGGGGCAUCAAGUAUGCUACAGUAUUAAUAGAAGUCAUCUGUGUUCCUUAAGAAUAAAUAGCAGCAUAAGUAGAAAGGGACCAAGACAGUAAAGAAAGCUGCCAUGUUUUCCCUCUUGUUGCUUCGAAAUACUUCUGGAAUGAGCCACCUUUUCUACCUACCACCCCAACCUUUGAUUAGCGAGCUUUCUGAAGUGGGAUGGUUAUGACUUAUAGGGGAAGUGGGAAUGAUUGCGACACUACCAGAAGAGUUCCAUAUCUUCAUGUUACAAUGCAGAAUAUUCUCAGAGAAUUAAAUGCUCUUUUAAAAUGUACUGACUUUCAAGUGCUGGCAGUUAAGUAAUGCAUCCCAAGUGCUCAAAUGAAUAGUAAUGGAAGAAGAUCAUAGCAGGAAAUUUCAGUGGCUUACCUCCUUAGCUUAUGGUAGGCCUGACUAUGGUCGUGAGAUUUUUGUCUUUAAAGAAGUCUAUGUUGAAGGGUUGCCCAAAUUCAAUGACUAAGUCAUGUUUCUCCACUUCUGGGUGUAAAGCCAGUGAACUGGGCGUGAGUGGAACAUGCUUGUGUUACUGCUCCCACUACACCAUCUUUGGCUUUGUUUCUGUUUGUGCUUUUAGGAUUUUCAUUUGUCUUUGUAGACAGACAGGUAAAUAAUGGAAUUCUUCUUGAUGUGUUGCUGGUUUAGUUUUUCUUUAAUUUAAAUUCAGGUACCAAGUAGCGAUAAUUUGAAUCUGUCACUUGUUUCUGUUAAUGAAAUUAGUGUAAUCUGUGCUGGUUGUUUCCUUACUGUUUCACAUGGGUAUUAUUCCUGUUCUGUUAUAAAGGUCAGUUGUUAAAAGAGUUCAGAACAAUGAAUAUUGCAGUUACCAAAACAAUCCACCUGACUCAACUACUGAGUUACGUUUAUUGGUUCAUUAUCACAGUGAUUCUCAGGUAUUCCAUCUGACACAGAUCUAUUACUGUCCAAGCAUCAGAAAUUAUUUUAAGUCUGAGGCCAAGCUAACUGAAAACAACACUUCUAAUGUUAUCUUGAUCCCAAGAAAGAGAUCACCUGAAAAAUUCAGCUUCAGAUGUUCAAAAUUGGGAUUUGAAUACUCCAAUGAAGUUAUAAUGUCACUUUCUUGUGUAACAGAAUUCCUUCUAUUGAAAAAUAAACCAGCAGUC